rnacentral:SRP_RNA from 1 species
UCGUACUAGGUGGGGAGGUAGCGGUGCCCUAUAACUCGCAAUCCGCUCUAGCGAGACUGAAGUCCUUAUCUGAGGCUGUACGCAUGUAAGGCCUGCCUUUUGCACGUAGUGUUGACGGUUGGGUCCUGCGCAAUGAAUACCCAUGAACCAUGUCAGGUCCGGAAGGAAGCAGCAUUAAGUGGAACCAUUCAUGUGCCGCGGGGUAGCCUAGCCUGAGCUGGCGACAAAAGUAACGCUUAUGUUCGGCAGUCAAAGUGAGGUGUACGG